ACUGCACAAACCAUGAUAAUGACCAGCAAGGAUGGAGGGAGCGUAUGAGAUGUGCCGGGCAGUGUGCUACGUCUCAGCCAACUCUAGGAGAUGGAAUGAAGACUGUUUGUUAAAACACCCUGCCCCUCUCUUUACUUGGACCUGAUUUUGAAAGUACAAGUCACUUUAUUUGGGCUGGAGGAAAAAGCACUAAACCAGAUGUUGAGGUGACCGGGAUUCCUGGAAGACGUUCUUCUCUCCGACGAGACGCGUGAUGCAUGAAGUAGGAGCCCCUGGCAAGGAGCCCAGGCUGCCAUGGCCUCGCUCGCUCAUGCUUCCCGGCAUGGCCCCGAGGCUAGCUGCCUCUGUACUGCCUGAGCAUCGUCCCCUGGUGUGUCACCAGACUACUCACUAUCUGUGCUUGCACCUGCGGGUAGGCAGUUCAGUCGCCGCAGGCCGAAGCUCCCUGUCAUAGGAAUCCAUCAACACUGGAGUUCACCAAAUGGCCCAGUCCAGGAAGCAUGGUCAUGGCAAUACCUGGAGUCUCCACCGCAAGACCAGAGUGAUGGAGGCAGCAGAACUCCUCAGCAGACCAGGAGUCUCCAGAGGCACUACAGAAUGUCUAGGAAGCAACCUCAUUGUAUUCCCAAGACCCGGGAAUCCAGGUCUCACAGAUAUGAUGAUACAAUCUAUAGCCAGGACAUCUCUUCAUGUGUAGACAUGAAAGCCAGAUAUGGAAGAAUUUGCAGCCUCAUACGGAUUGGCCCAUUGAGGAGUCCACUCAUCUCUCUUUUAGAAAAAAGAUCACAUUUAUGGAAUAAAGAAUAUACUAUGCUCUCUACUUACCAAGAGAUUUCUUUCUCUAUUGACAACGUUUUGUUGACGUGAUUACUGUGCAGGUUCUGACGGUCGAUUCUUUCCACCUAGCUCACUGCUGAAGCUAUAAUGAUUUCCAUUUUUCAAAAAGAGGAUGAUUACUUAUUAUCUGUGACCAUUUCUCAAUCACAGAACGAUUGAACUGCAUAGUCCCCGCGAUCUUGUAAAGGCAUUUGGCCUAGAAGACGCUCUGCAGCCAUGUGCCAAGAACAAUGGCUAUAGGGACAAUGUUUCGUUAACCCCAAAGCAGCAACCUGAACCUCUUACUGUACAAUAUCUGCUCCGUUCAGAAUUGGCUCGACUUGAGUCACAGGAUGAAGCUUAUCAAAAGGAAUUUCCAUGUCCAAGGAAGGAACCAAGAUCACUGAGAGGUUAUAGUAUGAAAAUGAAGAGAAAAAAUCUAUUCUAAACAUUUUGUUAAUUGUCAAUAAUUAUUUUAAAACAUUUAAUAUAGUCUCCUAUCUGGUCCGCUGGCAUCAAGCUGCCGAAUUUACAUGGUCGCUCUGGGAAGCCAGCUGGCAGGCGGGCAUGGAAAGUGCUGGCUCCCAGCGCAUUGAGAAGACCAACAGAUAGAUGGUAAUUUUCCUCUUUGUUUUGUUUUUCUUUUUUUCUCUCCCUCUUUUUCUUCCCUCUUGCCUUUCCCUCCCAUUGCCCCACUUUUUUUUUUUUUUUUUUUUUUUGGCUAUUGAAGAUUUAUUGCCUUUCAGUACUUACAGAUGAUGUUUUCAUAGGCUCUAAUGAGGUCCCAGCAGUUUUUAACAAUAACAGGACAUUACUGUUCCUAAGAUAUAUUAUGUGUUUUCCCUCAUCUUUCUCCCUUGAAUGAAAUGCUUAGAAGUAGGCUAACCCCCAAUUCCCUUCCCUUUACUAUGAUAAAUGGCUCCAUUACUUAAUAGGGCUAAAUAUUUUGCUGUGACUUUUCUACUGCUCAUUUGAAUAAAAUCUUAAGAAAAGCUUUUCUUGUGUGUUUUUCAGGUACUUUCUAGGAGAGUACCUGAGCACGUGCAUGCAAACACCUGUGUAUUAUCAGCCUUGAGAAACCUCUUUUUUUUUUUUUUUUUCUGAGACAGGGUCUGGCUCUGUUGCCCAGGUUGAGUGUAGUUGUGCAAUCAUGGCUCGUUGCAGCCCUGAACUCCUGGGCUCAAGAGAUCCUCCCACCUUAGCCUCCCAAGUGGCUGGGACUACAGGUGUGUGCCACCACACUUGGCUACUUUUUAUUUUUGGUAGAGAUGGAGGUCUUACUUUGUUACCCAGACUGGUCUCGAAUUCUUGAGCUCAAGUGAUCCUCCUGUCUCAGCCUCCCUAAGUGCUGGGAUUACAGGUGCAAGCUGCCGUGCCCAGGAACCCUUUCUAAUGCCAUCCUUGCUAGUCAUGCAUCUUGCUGGCAAGUUUUGCAGCAUUUCCUGAUCCUCCUUGAGAGCUGUCCAGGGAGAUUGCUCACUAUCUCUCCAGUUCCUGGAUUCUGAGGCAGUUCAUUUUGUCACCCAUGGCUCCAACCCCAUGUGACACGUCCACCUUUCACAGGAAGCCGCAUCCUUCUCUGAGUUGCCUGCAAAGGCCAGCCAUCCUCCAGUUGCCUCAAUGCGACCCGUGACCAUGGAGGUAUUUUUUAAAAGGAAAAACCAUUGCCAUGAACAAGUCCCUCAGCACCACAUGACUUAACUAGGGGGGUCCUGACACUUGUUCUUCCGUGGUGACAGGGUUGGCAGCCCACUCCAGAGGUAUUUUUUGUUGUUGUUGUUCUUAAAGGUAAGACAGAUUAAAUGUAAGUAACAAGCAACAAAGAAAGGGACCAAGCUGCAUCCCACGAUGUAACACACAGGGAUUUCACUAAAAUCAGGCUUUUUCCUUUGAGGAAUUACAAGCUGUAGGGAAUGAUUUUUAGCGAGAAGGGGCUUCAAGCAGGAAAACUCAGAAACAUUCUGUAUUACUGUGUUCUAUUUUGGUUCCGGGCUAGCUUUGGCUGGGUGGCUUUCACUGUGCCCUGAAAUUAACAUGUUGUAAACGGACGGGUUGGGUCUCAGACCCAGCAAAGAAGCCAGCUUGAAAAAUCAUUCUGGGAAAUGCCCUGAAUCACUUGUUCCAGGAACAGAAAGCCACUGUGCCUUGAGAAACAGGCCGUCGGCAAAGUCCCUGAGACAGGCACCCUCGGAUUUGCUGUCAGGUCGUCACCGUCCUCCCUUCAUUCUAGGGCUUUCUGUCACUUCACUACUCAUAUUAUUGGGGGCUUGACUUCUGCUAAUAGGUUCUCUUAAAG
rnacentral:lncRNA from 1 species